CCUACGGGCGGCUGCAGUGGGGAAUAUUGGACAAUGGGCGAAAGCCUGAUCCAGCUAUGCCGCGUGUGUGAAGAAGGCCUUCGGGUUGUAAAGCACUUUCAGUGGGGAAGAAAGCCUUGGGGCUAAUACCCUCGAGGAAGGACAUCACCCACAGAAGAAGCACCGGCUAACUCCGUGCCAGCAGCCGCGGUAAUACGGAGGGUGCGAGCGUUAAUCGGAAUUACUGGGCGUAAAGCGCGCGUAGGCGGUCUGAUAAGCCGGUUGUGAAAGCCCCGGGCUCAACCUGGGAACGGCAUCCGGAACUGUCAGGCUAGAGUGCAGGAGAGGAAGGUAGAAUUCCCGGUGUAGCGGUGAAAUGCGUAGAGAUCGGGAGGAAUACCAGUGGCGAAGGCGGCCUUCUGGACUGACACUGACGCUGAGGUGCGAAAGCGUGGGUAGCAAACAGGAUUAGAUACCCCGGUAGUC
rnacentral:rRNA from 1 species